rnacentral:rRNA from 1 species
UACGGAGGAUCCAAGCGUUAUCCGGAUUCACUGGGUUUAAAGGGUGCGUAGGUGGAAUGACAAGUCAGUGGUGAAAACCUGCAGCUUAACUGUAGAACUGCCAUUGAUACUGUUAUUCUUGAGUACAUUUGAUGUGAGUGGAAUGUGUCGUGUAGCGGUGAAAUGCUUAGAUAUGACACAGAACACCAAUUGCGAAGGCAGCUCACAAAACUGUAAACUGACACUGAGGCACGAAGCGUGGGGAUCAAACAGG